AUGUCGGACGAGCAAUGGAGCCUCGUUGGACCGAUCACGGCCACGGCGGCGGCGAGGUGGAAGGAGCUCCACGGCGAGCGGUCGUGGGAGGGGCUGCUGCGGCCGCUGGACCUGGAGCUCCGGCGCACGGUGAUCUGGUACGGCGAGAUGGCGCAGGCCACGUACGACGCGUUCAACUACGAGAAGCACUCGCCGCACGCCGGCCACUCGCGCUUCGGCAGCAAGCGCUUCUUCGAGCACGUGAUGCUGCCGGGCCACGCCGCCGCGUACCGGAUCACCAGGUUCCUGUAUGCCAAGGAGUCCAACUGGAUCGGGUACGUCGCGGUGGCCACGGACGCGGGGAAGGCCACGCUCGGGCGCCGGGACGUGGUCGUCGUGUGGCGCGGCACCAUCCAGGCGCUGGAGUGGAUCAAAGACCUCGAGUUCGCCAUGGUGCAUCCCAAGGGCAUCCUCGGCGAAGUCACCGGCGCCGAGGCCAUGGUGGACCGCGGCUGGUUCUCCAUCUACACCUCCACCGACCAGGCCUCCACCCACAACAAGGUCAGCGCGAGAAAGCAGGUGAGGAAGCUGGUGGACACGUACAAGGACGAGGAGGUGAGCAUCACAGUGACGGGGGGGCGGCGCUGGCCACGCUGA
rnacentral:rRNA from 1 species